AUUUGUGAUGCCCUACACAGAGGGGCAUGCGCUUCUGUGUUUAUCUUCUGCAGAAGUGCAUGCUAAUUUUGCAUGGAAGAUAAUAAACAAUAAAAACUGUCUAAAAGAUAGUUGUUGAGAGAAUUUCUCAACCAUAAAUUAACAGCGGCUGCUGACGAGAUAUUUGGGUUCUUAGAAAAAACGAUAGCAGAGUACCAGGUAGACGUUUUCCGUACGAAGAGGAGAAGAACGUCUUCGUGGACUGUUGAUGUUGCAUAAAGGAGAUAUGUAGCUUCAUACAGUCAAUUGUUUGUAGCGUCUAACCACAUACAAAAUGGGAGGGGUAGCUACACGGGUGUCUAUCUAAUAACGUUAGCAAGCUUUCUACUCAGAUCCAAAAUGUUUGUCAAUGGCGAAUCUUCAUUGAAAGUGCCGGUUACAAAACCUACAUUUAUAGUAAAGUCCAGGAACUGGCCUUAGAGCUGAGAUCCUCAAAGUGUGAAGCAGCGCCACUGCAUUUAUUCCGGUUUUGUUUUUGAAAAGGAGGAGACGAGCAUCCAGCAACGCAACCUGGUCUCAACGUUUCAUAUUAUUCUAGUCAGACUGCCAGCAGCAGGCUGAAGCUACGAUCACUUUGGUGCAGGUUGCCCCUGAGCAGCACAGUGUAAAGAGGAAGAGGAUUCACACUGGAUCAGUGAGGUUGAAAAACACAUUCAAAGGCUGGAGUCUGAUUCCAAAGAAGAUCCAGACCAAGUAUCCACUUCUGAAGGUACAUGCUGAGUUUCAGAGAAUCCCCAACCAGAGCCUGCAGCAGACGUUCUACACUGCCUUGGACCACCACACGCCCCGCCUGCUGACCCUGUUCAGGGAGAAGGAGGGGAAGUCCACCACCCAUGAGGAAGUUCUCAAGCAUCCUGAGAGUAUGCAACGAGCAGUUCACUUCACAGAGAGAAAAGAACAUCACCGGGGCCCGUUCUGCAGUCCUGGCUGGUCUCCCUUUGUUGUUACGAGAGGAUAGUUCUGAUGUCUUCAAAAUCGGCGAGGUGGGAGAACUCAUCAACCCUGGUAUUCUUGGAUGGAGUUUCCAUUCUCUCAGUGGUGGGCCAGCACAAUGAGGUGGUGGGUGGUAUACCCAUCAGACCGGCCCAUGUAUCCGUUGUCCUUGAGGAUGAGAUCGUCAUGACUAACUCCCGCUCCUGGCCAGACGCUCUCGUGGUUGUUUUUGGGCUACUCUACUCCCUCCAUCUGAACUACCCCAAAGCCCUGGGCAGCACCUCUGCAGAAAGUCUUCCUGAACCUCGACGAUGGAAAACUGAAGCCCAAGCUGCUAGCGCUGAAAAAUGAACUGUUGGCCUAAAUCUGUAGUGAUGAGAUGGAAUUUUACUUUCAGUGACCUCCUAUAUGCCGAGUGAGUGGUUUGAAAACAAUGGUUAUUUUUGUUUGGUUUGCUUUUUAUAUUUUUGUACCUUUUUUGUGAAGGUAAUGGAUUUGAUAUUGUAUUUCAAUUCACUUAUAACCCUUUUAUGUGCAAAGAAGACACAGGUCAGUCAGCACAUUAACUUGCCACAUACAGUAGGUCUGUGACCCAGUUCUCUACCUUUUAUACAGCUGCAGAAAACCCCCAAAUGUAUUCUAGAAGAUUUCACCUUUGCAGACAUUCCGAUUGGCACAAAAUAAAUGUUGAUAAAAUGUG